rnacentral:rRNA from 1 species
CUAAGCUACUAAGGGCGUACGGGGAAUGCCUUGGCGCAAACAGGCGAUGAAGGACGUGGCAUGUCUGCGAAAUGCCUCGGGGAGUUGACUAGCAAACUUUGAUCCGGGGGUGUCCGAAUGGGGAAACCUAUCCAAGGGUGACUUUGGAUACUAUACACUGAAUUAAUAGGUGUAUUAGAGCGAACUUUGGGAAGUGAAACAUCUCAGUACCAAAAGGAAAAGAAAUCAAUCGAGAUACUCUGAGUAGCGGCGAGCGAAAGGGGUAUAGGCCAAACCAGGUAUCUUUGGAUAUCUGGGGUUGUAGGGCUCUUAUAAUGUGAUCCAUGAUUAGAUAGUAGAAACAGUUUGGAAAAACUUACCAUAGAGGGUGAUAGUCCUGUAUACGAAAUCGAAAAUGGCAUAGAGAGUACCUGAGUACCACAGGGCACGUGAAACCCGGUGGGAAUCUAGGUGGACCAUCAUCUAAGCCUAAAUACUCGUUUGCGACCGAUAGUGAACCAGUACCGUGAGGGAAAGGUGAAAAGAACCCCGGUUAGGGGAGUGAAAGAGAACCUGAAACCGUACGUCUACAAGCAGUUGGAGAUCUAUGGGCGUUUUCGGACGUCAAUGAUCGACAGCGUGCCUUUUGCAUAAUGAUGUGGCGAGUUGUCCUACGUAGCAAGGUUAAGCCGAGUGAGGUGAAGCCGAAGGGAAACCGAGUCUUAAAUGGGCGUUUAGUUGCGUGGGGCAGACGCGAAGCGGGAUGAUCUAGCCAUGACCAGGAUGAAGCGUGGGUAAUACCACGUGGAGGUCCGAACCGGUGAAAGUUGAAAAUUUCUCGGAUGAGUUGUGGCUAGGGGUGAAAGGCCAAUCAAAUCCCGGGAUAGCUCGUUCUCCCCGAAAGAUAUUUAGGUAUCGUCUUCAGGAAUUCUGUUACGGAGGUAGAGCACUGAAAGGGCUAGGGGUCCUACCAGAUUACCAAACCCUAUCAAACUCCGAAUGCCGUAAACUGUUACCUGGGGAAGCAGUCAUUGGGUGCUAAGGUCCGAUGACAAGAGGGAAAGAGCCCAGACCGACAGCUAAGGUCCCAAAGUUUUGACUAAGUGGAAAAGGAUGUGGAAACGCACUGACAGCCAGGAAGUUGGCUUAGAAGCAGCCACCUUUUAAAGAAAGCGUAAUAGCUCACUGGUCGAGUGGGUCUGCGCCGAAAAUGUAACGGGGCUAAAGUCAAACACCGAAGCUUCGGGUUUUACAAAAAUACUUUUUUGUAAAGCGGUAGGGGAGCGUCGUAGCGACAAUGAAGGUUAACCGAAAGGAUAGCUGGAGUUUCUACGAGUGAGUAUGCCACAAUGAGUAGCGAUAAAGAAUGUGAGAAACAUUCUCGCCGUAAACCCAAGGUUUCCCGGGGCAGGUUAAUCCGCCCGGGGUUAGUCGGGUCCUAAGCUGAGGCCGAGAGGCGUAGGCGAUGGAAAGCAGGUUAAUAUUCCUGCACCUGAUAUGAGCGUUGAAGCAAGCGGGGACGGAGAAGGGUAGCUGAUCCACCUAUUGGAUGGUGGUUCAAGCAUGUAGGCUGGAGAAAUACGAAACCAAAGGUUUCUCCUUAAGGCCGAGAUGUGAUGUCGAUGUUUUUUUUCGGAAAGACAGAGUCAGUGAUCCCAUGCUUCCUAGAAAAGCCGCGUGUGGAGCAAAAUAUCAGCUCGUACCGUAAACCGACACAGGUGGGUGGGGUGAGUAUCCCAAGGCGCUUGAGAGAACCCAGUCUAAGGAACUCUGCAAAUUGGCACCGUAACUUCGGGAGAAGGUGUGCCUUUUCUGGUGAUUAGACUUGCUUUAUAAGCUGGAGAAGGUUGCAGUGACCAGGCGGUGGCGACUGUUUAUCAAAAACACAGCACUCUGCAAAACCGUAAGGUGAGGUAUAGGGUGUGACGCCUGCCCGGUGCUGGAAGGUUAAAGGGAUCCGUUAGUCGUAUGGCGAAGCGGUGAACUGAAGCCCCAGUAAACGGCGGCCGUAACUAUAACGGUCCUAAGGUAGCGAAAUUCCUUGUCGGGUAAGUUCCGACCUGCACGAAUGGCGUAACGAUCUCCGCACUGUCUCGGGCUGGGACUCAGCGAAAUUGUGCUUGCUGUGAAAACGCAGUGUACCUGCGGCAAGACGGAAAGACCCCGUGAACCUUUACUGUAGCUUGACACUGAUAUUCGGGCAAAUUUGUGUAGGAUAGGUGGGAGACUUUGAAGCGGAGGCGCUAGCUUUCGUGGAGUCGUCCUUGAAAUACCACCCUGGUUUAUUUGGAUAUCUAACCUAGGCCCGUUAUCCGGGUCGGGGACACUGUCUGGUGGGCAGUUUGACUGGGGCGGUCGCCUCCAAAAGAGUAACGGAGGCGUACAAAGGUUUUCUCAGCCUGAUUGGAAACCAGGCGACGAGUGCAAUGGCAUAAGAAAGCUUAACUGCGAGACCGACGGGUCGAGCAGAUGGGAAACCAGGUCAUAGUGAUCCGGUGGCUCCGUGUGGAAGGGCCAUCGCUUAACGGAUAAAAGGUACUCCGGGGAUAACAGGCUGAUCACGCCCAAGAGUUCAUAUCGACGGCGUGGUUUGGCACCUCGAUGUCGACUCAUCGCAUCCUGGGGCUGGAGCAGGUCCCAAGGGUAUGGCUGUUCGCCAUUUAAAGCGGUACGUGAGUUGGGUUCAGAACGUCGUGAGACAGUUCGGUCCCUAUCUGCCGUAGGCGUAGGAGAUUUGAGGGAAGCUGACCUUAGUACGAGAGGACCGGGUUGGACAAACCUCUUGUGAACCGGUUGUCACGCCAGUGGCACAGCCGGGUAGCUAUGUUUGGACGGGAUAACCGCUGAAAGCAUCUAAGCGGGAAGCCUCUCCCAAGAUGAGAUCUCCCGAGUGAAAAACUCCUAAAGACCCCUUGUAGACUACGAGGUGAUAGGCUAGAAGUGGAAGCGCAGUAAUGCGUGAAGCUGACUAGUACUAAUAGGUCGUGAGGUUUAGUAUCUCCA